rnacentral:lncRNA from 1 species
UAGGGUGGAGCUUCUCAGCCUUGCUGGACCGCUGCUGACAUAAGCAUCUGGGACAUGAAGGCUAAUCUAGAGAGAUGUGAAGCAGAAGGAAAAUGAGCUUUCAGCCCAAGCCAGCUGCCUUCGUCUCAUCCAUGCCCACUGCUCAUCUGUGGGGCUCUGGCCAAACUCAGACUCUGCUUGCUCCUCAUGGUUUAUCUAUUCUCUCUGGGUAGAGGCAUGGGGAGAACUCCCAUUAUCCAAUUUGACAAACUCCUGACCUGCUUUAGCAGUUGAAAAUCAUCGUUCAUGGAUGCUUGGAUGACACAGACAUUCUUCCACCAGCUGUCUGUCACACCAGCUCUCAAGAAAAGUCUGCUAGAACAUCAUGCAUUUCUCUGCAGAAGGAAGGUAAAUAUUGGCAAGCCCGGUGGUGCCGUCGCUAGUGUUCUGAAACCUGAAUGUAGCCUGGACACCCUUUCAAAAGCAGAAUAGCCCAGUGGGCACUACAUCUUUCAGGCAGGUUUUGGACACAGAAGCAGAGCUACUGCUCAUCUCUCCCAUUAAAAGGGACAUUAAAAGGGAGAGGGCAGAGCCAAUCUCUGUUAUCACAGUUCUUGUGAAGAUUAGUCAUGCUCCAAAAUGUGAACUAGAAAUGUUGAGAGUUUGGGAAGGAAAUGACUCAACCAGUAUAAAAUGUUACAAAAUAAUCAGUCAGACCCUGGAGUCU